UCUCUGUUAGUGUAUCGGUUAGUACACGCGCCUGUCAUUUCGUUGGCCGCGCGAAAGCGGGGUUCGACUCCCCGACAGAGAG